AUUGAACGCUGGCGGCAGGCCUAACACAUGAAAGUCGAACGAGUGGCGGACGGGUGGGUAAUGUCUGGAAAACGGCCGGAGGGAGGGGGAAAACUACGGAAACCGGUGGCUAAUACCGCAUACCAUCAGAUUGGCCCAGAUGGGAUUAGCUUGUUGGUGGGGUAACGGCUCACCAAGGCGACGAUCCCUAGCUGGUCUGAGAGGAUGACCAGCCACACUGGAACUGAGACACGGUCCAGACUCCUACGGGAGGCAGCAGUGGGGAAUAUUGCACAAUGGGCGCAAGCCUGAUGCAGCCAUGCCGCGUGUAUGAAGAAGGCCUUCGGGUUGUAAAGUACUUUCAGCGGGGAGGCGUUACCCGCAGAAGAAGCACCGGCUAACUCCGUGCCAGCCGCCGCGGUAAUUC
rnacentral:rRNA from 1 species